rnacentral:rRNA from 1 species
UACAGAGGGGGCAAGCGUUGUUCGGAAUUACUGGGCGUAAAGGGCGCGUAGGCGGCCUUCUAAGUCGAACGUGAAAUCCCCGGGCUCAACCCGGGAACUGCGUCCGAUACUGGAAGGCUUGAAUCCGGGAGAGGGAUGCGGAAUUCCAGGUGUAGCGGUGAAAUGCGUAGAUAUCAAGAGGAACACCUGCGGCGAAGGCGGGUUGCUGGGCCGACACUGACGCUGAAGCGCGAAAGCCAGGGGAGCGAACGGG